AACCCGGAGAACUGAAACAUCUAAGUACCCGGAGGAGAAGAAAACAAAAGUGAUUCCGUUAGUAGUGGCGAGCGAACGCGGAUUAGCCCAAACCAAUAUUGUUAAGGCAAUAUUGGGGUUGUAGGACUGCAAUAAUUGAACUGUAAUGAAUUAGAAUAGUUUGGAAAAACUAACCAAAGAGGGUGAUAGUCCCGUAUAAGUAAAGAACAGUAAGAUAGCAGUAUCCUGAGUAGUGCGGGACACGAGUAAUCCUGUGUGAAUCAGUCGGGACCAUCCGAUAAGGCUAAAUACUCCUGAGAGACCGAUAGUGAACUAGUACCGUGAGGGAAAGGUGA
rnacentral:rRNA from 1 species